GGCCACUUAAGGAGAGAUGGAUGUUGGGACUUCCUGUGGGUGUGAAGGGGCCUUUGUCCACUGGCUGCUGGGCUUCGGGCUUCUGCAUGUGCUCUGGGGUCAGUGCCACAUCAGACACGAGAUGCAUAUGCUUCAUCCCUUCUGCAAGUGUCUCUUCACCCUGUGGAUGCCGUCUGUCAGGCACCAUGCUGACUUCCACAAACCCACUGGGCCUCUCCUUUGUUUCCUGGGCUUUUGUCGUCACCAGGCAAGUACUGUCCACCAACACCAGGGAGCAUUGCCUCAGGCUUCUCUCCAGAGCCCAGGGCCAGGAGCCCCGUUCGGGUCUCCCACCAGCCCAGCCACUCGCUCAGGUCUCCCACCAGCCCAGCAGCUCAGGUCUCCCCCAAGCCCAGCCACUCGCUCAGGUCUCCCCCGGCCCAGCUGCUCUCCCACAGUGCAUUCAGCGGCUCCAACUUGCCGCUUUCCGUGCGGGAACCCGGUUCCCGGCAUGGUCAUUGCUCUUUCCUCCCCAGAUGUUUUGGCACCUCCUUGAUAAUCAUUUGGCCACUUGUGCAGAGCUUUGCUUCCGCGCUCCGCUCUGUCCCGUCGACCUGCACCACUACCUGCCACUGUGUUCCUGGUGGGGUGACCCUGGAGCGUGUGCCAACUUUCUGUCACUGCAGGUUUGUGUAGCUCUGGAGUCAGGAAGCACAGAUCAUUCUCUUUCUGUAGAGAUCCAGGGUCCCCGGAGGUUCCAUAUGGAGUUUAGAAUGAGUUUUUCUAUUUCUGUAAGAUCAUUGUUGGGACUGUUCUAGGGGGGCAUGGAAUGUGUAGAUCACGCUCCAUACUGUGAGCAUCCAGCCGCGAGUCUCCCCAUCUGUGAACUGGGGGUGAGCUUCCACCCCCAGACGGACUUCAC
rnacentral:lncRNA from 1 species